rnacentral:rRNA from 1 species
CCUACGGGAGGCAGCAGUGGGGGAUAUUGCACAAUGGGGGGAACCCUGAUGCAGCGACGCCGCGUGGGUGAAGAAGCGCCUCGGCGCGUAAAGCCCUGUCAGCAGGGAAGAAAAUGACGGUACCUGAAGAAGAAGCCCCGGCUAACUACGUGCCAGCAGCCGCGGUAAUACGGAGGGUGCGAGCGUUAAUCGGAAUUACUGGGCGUAAAGCGCUCGUAGGCGGUAUGUCAAGUCAAGGGUGAAAUCCCCGCGCUCAACGUGGGAACUGCCUUUGAAACUGGCAAACUGGAGUGUGUGAGAGGAUAGUGGAAUUCCAGGUGUAGGAGUGAAAUCCGUAGAUAUCUGGAGGAACAUCAGUGGCGAAGGCGACUAUCUGGCACAUAACUGACGCUGAGGAGCGAAAGCGUGGGUAGCAAACAGGAUUAGAUACCCCAGUAGUC